ensembl:lncRNA
AUGGUGCCUGCAAUGUCAAAGGGAGAGGGAUUGAUCAGCCUCUCCGCACGGAAAGACUGUCGAACUGACAGGAAGGCCUGUCUCACAGCUGGCCCGACAAAAGCAAAGACAGUGUGUGAGAGCGCACAGCUGUGCUUAGAGAUGCAUUCCUGCCUAAUUAAAACAGGUCAAGAGAGCGGGCUGUCAUCCAUCCAUCCAAAAAAAAAAAAAAGCCUAAGAUAUAAAGUAACUGAGGAACAUGCCUGUCCUGGUUUCCCGGCUGCAUUGAUUGGAGCAGAAAGAGCUGAUCCAGCAGAGCAGCUCGAAGUACGACUCAUCCUGACCCACUGAAGCUGAAAACAUGCACAGAAGACAGACCAACAUUUACAACACUUUACUUACUCCAGCAUCCUUCUUUCUCUCUCUUGUGGUACUGCAUUGCACUGCAAUGCACAUUUGAACAGUGCUGCUUUAACCUCAUCAGCAAACUCCAUUACACUAUGCUAAACUGAACUAAAUUGAACUAAAUUUAAAGUAUCGGACAGAACUGAAUUAAUAAAAAAAACUGAACUAAAUCA